UACGAAGGUGGCAUGCGUUGUUCGGAUUUACUGGGCGUAAAGGGCGCGUAGGCGGAUCUGCAAGUCAGAGGUGAAAGCCCUGGGCUCAACCCGGGAAUGGCCUUUGAGACUGCAAGUCUUGAGUGCGAGAGAGGGUGGCGGAAUACCCAGUGUAGAGGUGAAAUUCGUAGAUAUUGGGUAGAACACCGGUGGCGAAGGCGGCCACCUGGGUCGCAACUGACGCUGAGGCGCGAAAGCGUGGGGAGCAAACAGG
rnacentral:rRNA from 1 species